rnacentral:rRNA from 1 species
GGGGAAUAACUGUUGGAAACGACAGCUAAUACCGCAUAAUAUUGCUGGAUAAUUUCCAGUAAUGAAAGGAGCUUUCAAGCUCCGCUGAUUGAUGAGGAUGCGGCGCAUUAGCUAGUUGGUAGGGUAAUGGCCUACCAAGGCAAUGAUGCGUAGCCGAUCUGAGAGGAUGAACGGCCACAUUGGGACUGAGACACGGCCCAAACUUCUACGGAAGGCAGCAGUAGGGAAUUUUUCACAAUGGGCGAAAGCCUGAUGGAGCAAUGCCGCGUGACUGAUGAAGGUCUUCGGAUUGUAAAGGUCUGUUGUAAGGGAAGAAAUGGUAAAACAGGAAAUGGUUUUAUCUAUGACGGUACCUUACCAGAAAGCCACGGCUAACUAUGUGCCAGCAGCCGCGGUAAUACAUAGGUGGCAAGCGUUAUCCGGAUUUAUUGGGCGUAAAGGGUGCGUAGACGGUUUUGCAAGUCUGAGGNUAAAUUUANGAGCUCAACUCCUAAUCGCCUUGGAAACUACNAGACUAGAGUAUAGGAGANGNUAGUGGAAUUCCAUGUGUAGCGGUGGAAUGUGUAGAUAUAUGGAGGAAC